rnacentral:tRNA from 1 species
UGAUAGGUAGUUCAAUAGGUAGAACGCUGGGUCUAAAACCAAGAAGACCUAGGUUCAAGUCCAGCCUCAG